ACCUUAGCACAGGGGCAAUAUCGUAGCCAUUGAGGUAUUUUCCCAAGGUGAGAUUAUUGCUGAUUGAAAACUUUAGGUGCUUCCCAGCCAUUUGAGAUGGCUCUAUUGUGAAUUCUUGGUUUAGUUCUAUACU
ensembl:snRNA LOC120099550 U4 spliceosomal RNA